rnacentral:rRNA from 1 species
UGAGCUUGAUCCUGGCUCAGGAUGAACGCUAGCGGCAGGCUUAACACAUGCAAGUCGAGGGGUAUUAGUUUUCGGACUAAGAGACCGGCGCACGGGUGCGUAACGCGUAUGCAAUCUACCUUUUACAGAGGGAUAGCCCAGAGAAAUUUGGAUUAAUACCUCAUAGUAUAAUGACUCGGCAUCGAGAUAUUAUUAAAGUCACAACGGUAAAAGAUGAGCAUGCGUCCCAUUAGCUAGUUGGUAAGGUAACGGCUUACCAAGGCUACGAUGGGUAGGGGUCCUGAGAGGGAGAUCCCCCACACUGGUACUGAGACACGGACCAGACUCCUACGGGAGGCAGCAGUGAGGAAUAUUGGACAAUGGGCGCAAGCCUGAUCCAGCCAUGCCGCGUGCAGGAUGACGGUCCUAUGGAUUGUAAACUGCUUUUAUACGAGAAGAAACACUGCUUCGUGAAGCAGCUGACGGUAUCGUA